GAGGAGCUUGCUCCUUUGACGUUAGCGGCGGACGGGUGAGUAACACGUAGGUAACCUACCUAUAAGACUGGGAUAACUUCGGGAAACCGGAGCUAAUACCGGAUAAUAUUUCGAACCGCAUGGUUCGAUAGUGAAAGAUGGCUUUGCUAUCACUUAUAGAUGGACCUGCGCCGUAUUAGCUAGUUGGUAAGGUAACGGCUUACCAAGGCAACGAUACGUAGCCGACCUGAGAGGGUGAUCGGCCACACUGGAACUGAGACACGGUCCAGACUCCUACGGGAGGCAGCAGUAGGGAAUCUUCCGCAAUGGGCGAAAGCCUGACGGAGCAACGCCGCGUGAGUGAUGAAGGUCUUCGGAUCGUAAAACUCUGUUAUUAGGGGAAGAA
rnacentral:rRNA from 1 species